rnacentral:rRNA from 1 species
ACAGCAGUCGCCGCGGUAAUACGUAGGGUGCAAGCGUUAAUCGGAAUUACUGGGCGUAAAGCGUGCGCAGGCGGUUUUGUAAGACAGAGGUGAAAUCCCCGGGCUCAACCUGGGAACUGCCUUUGUGACUGCAAGGCUAGAGUACGGCAGAGGGGGAUGGAAUUCCGCGUGUAGCAGUGAAAUGCGUAGAUAUGCGGAGGAACACCGAUGGCGAAGGCAAUCCCCUGGGCCUGUACUGACGCUCAUGCACGAAAGCGUGGGGAGCAAACAGGAUUAGAUACCCGCGUAGUCCCUGUCUCUUAUAC